CCUGCAUUAUCUUCCCUAUUUAUGAGGUCUUCCUCAAAUCUCUUUUUCUUCUUCCAAAAUUUUCUUUUUCUAAGAUCUUUGUAUCUAAAAAUUCAUAAAAAUUAGAUAUCAUACCUAAAAAUGUGUAUUGGGACAUCGGACAAUAUUUUACUAUAUGUAUAUCAAUUGACCAUAUAUUAUGUACUAGUAAAUACUAAGUUCGGUAAACUAUGUAUCAAUUUAUCUAUAGAUAUAUAUUGG
rnacentral:lncRNA from 1 species